AGUCUUCUCUUCUGAGAAUGCCCAAGCCUUAGGCAUUAUCCACUGGGGCUGGGUACCCCACAAAAAAAGAACUGUGGAUAGCAGCCCAAGAUGGUAUUUUGAAGUGAGUAGACACCUGGAGAACACAGUCUUCCUGCUACCGGGAUGAUGGAUAAACAUCUUCAAUCAAGACAUCCUAAGGACUCCUACGGGUUUAGAUGAAGGAGACUCUCCAGUUGUGUUUGUUUGGAAGGCGACCUCGGUAAGCAUGGAGCUAGAUGUCAACUGAAGAGACGCUUCUGAGAGGGACUCAAAACUGCCGACCUUGGGAAUUUGCUCGAGAGGAGAGAAAUUCUUGGCCACAGAGAGAGUGCUGAGAAGACAGGGGAGUGAAAAGAACGUGUCAACAGAGUGAGCCAAGCCCAGGGGACAUGGCAGAGCGCCACAAGAAACCAUUGCUCGGCAAAGGACUCCUCAGAUGAGAGUGUACAAAAUAUGAUCAUCCCUCAUCACCAGGGGUAGCCCUAGGAUCCCUGCCCAGGGUACCACAAUCUUAGAGUACUCAAGUCCCUUAUAUAAACAGCAAAAUGAAUUAGG
rnacentral:lncRNA from 1 species